rnacentral:rRNA from 1 species
UGAGGAAUAUUGGUCAAUGGACGAGAGUCUGAACCAGCCAAGUAGCGUGAAGGAUGACUGCCCUAUGGGUUGUAAACUUCUUUUAUACGGGAAUAAAGUGAGGCACGUGUGCCUUUUUGUAUGUACCGUAUGAAUAAGGAUCGGCUAACUCCGUGCCAGCAGCCGCGGUAAUACGGAGGAUCCGAGCGUUAUCCGGAUUUAUUGGGUUUAAAGGGAGCGUAGGCGGACGCUUAAGUCAGUUGUGAAAGUUUGCGGCUCAACCGUAAAAUUGCAGUUGAUACUGGGUGUCUUGAGUACAGUAGAGGCAGGCGGAAUUCGUGGUGUAGCGGUGAAAUGCUUAGAUAUCACGAAGAACUCCGAUUGCGAAGGCAGCUUGCUGGACUGUAACUGACGCUGAUGCUCGAAAGUGUGGGUAUCAAACAGGAUUAGAUACCCUGGUAGUCCACACAGUAAACGAUGAAUACUCGCUGUUUGCGAUAUACAGUAAGCGGCCAAGCGAAAGCGUUAAGUAUUCCACCUGGGGAGUACGCCGGCAACGGUGAAACUCAAAGGAAUUGACGGGGGCCCGCACAAGCGGAGGAACAUGUGGUUUAAUUCGAUGAUACGCGAGGAACCUUACCCGGGCUUGAAUUGCAACUGAAUGAUGUGGAGACAUGUCAGCCGCAAGGCAGUUGUGAAGGUGCUGCAUGGUUGUCGUCAGCUCGUGCCGUGAGGUGUCGGCUUAAGUGCCAUAACGAGCGCAACCCUUAUCGAUAGUUACCAUCAGGUUAUGCUGGGGACUCUGUCGAGACUGCCGUCGUAAGAUGUGAGGAAGGUGGGGAUGACGUCAAAUCAGCACGGCCCUUACGUCCGGGGCUACACACGUGUUACAAUGGGGGGUACAGAAGGCAGCUACACGGCGACGUGAUGCUAAUCCCGAAAGCCUCUCUCAGUUCGGAUUGGAGUCUGCAGCCCGACUCCAUGAAGCUGGAUUCGCUAGUAAUCGCGCAUCAGCCACGGCGCGGUGAAUACGUUCCC